rnacentral:rRNA from 1 species
UUAUUUUAUUUUGAAUAAUUCUGUAUGAACAAAAACAAUUAUUUUACCACAAAACAAAAGGUCAUAAUAAUUUAAAAUAGCUAAUUGUUCAAAUGGACAUAACUAUUUGAACUUGUUCGAUAAACAGAUAUAUUUUUUAAAUCUCCUACCUAUUAACUUGCAAAAUAUUAAUAAAGUAGUAUUAUUUUAUUUUGAAUAAACUUAUAUGAAUAGAAACAAUUGUUUUAUGACAAAACGAAAGAUCCUAACUAUUUGAAAUAAAAAAUUGCUUAAACAGUCAUAACAAUUUGAGCUUACUCAGUAAACAAAUUCAUUUUAUAAAUCUUUUACUUAUUAAGUUUUGAAAUAUUAAUAAACUAGUAUUAUUUUAUUUCAAAUAAGCUUGUAUGGACAUAAAAAAUUCGUUUAUCACAAAACAAAAGGUCAUAACUAUUUAAAAUAAAUAGCAAAUAUUCAAAUGAGGACUUUAAAGGUUGAAGGGGGAAAGGUUCCAUGUGAACAGCACUUGAACAUAGAUUAGUCGAUCUUAAGAGAUGGGGGGAGUUAGCCCAACAGCGCAUCGAGUGCAAGCUUUGAAAGGGAAUUGGGUUAAAAUUCAUAAGCCAGAACGUGGAGGCUAAUGGCAACGUUAUCUUUUUUGUUUGGAGUCGUCGGUAGGGGCUUCAACAAGAGUUAUCUUUUUUGUUUAACAGCCUACCCACCCUAGAAACAACUCAGCUGGAGGGAGGGUCUAGUGGUCGAAAGAGCACCACACGUCACAUGGUGUUUGGUGCACCCUCAACAGCCCUUGCAAAUCUAAAGGAUCAUGCUAUCCUUGCCUAGUUAUACUCAUAACCACAUCAGGUUUCCAAGGUGAAUAGCCUCUAGUUGAUGGAACAAUGUAGGCAAGGGAAAUUGACAAAAUGGAUCUGUAACCUUGAGAAAAGGAUUGGCUCUAAGGGCUAGGCACUGGGGUCCCAGUGUCGAACCUAUUAGCUACUGGAACAUUACUCAAGUUACUUCCAUGGCGAAAGUAGGUCACCAUAUGCCGACCAAGGGAUGGAUAGGAAAAGCUCCCUCAAGGGUUUUUCUUUUCCCAAGUGAUAAACAGUUGACUCAAAACUUAUAUAGACAAGGGGAAUCUGAUUGUUUAAUUAAAAAAAAAGCAUUAUGAUGGUCAUUAAGGAUGUUCACGCAAUGUGAUUUCUACCUAGUGUUUUGAGUGUCAAUGUGAAAAAAUUCAACCAAGCAUAGGUAAACGAUGAAAGUAACUAUGACUCUCUUAAGGUAGCCAAAUGCUUUGUCAUCUAAUUAGUGAUGCAUAUUAAUAGAUUAAUGAGAUUCCCAUUGUCCCUGUCUACCAUCUAGCAAAACCAUAACCAAGGGAAUGGGCUUGGUAGAAUCAACAAAAGAGAAGACCUUAUUAAGUUGACUUUAGUCUAACUUUGUGAAAUGACUUGAGAGGUGUAGGAUAAGUGGGAGACCUCAUAUGAAAUUGAAAUACCACUACUUUUAACAUUAUUUUACUUAUUUUGUGAAUCGAAAGCAGGGCACAACCCCUUUUUUUGGACCCAAGGUGGGCCUGAGUUAGUCAAUCUAGGUAAAAAACAUUCUUGGGUGGGGAGUUUGGCUGGAAGGGUAAAUUUGUUAAAAGAUAAUACAGGUGUCCCUAAGAUGAGCUCAAUGAGAAUAGAAAACAUAUGUGGAACAAAAGGGUAAAAGCUCAUUUGAUUUUAAUUUCCAGUAUGAAUAUGAAUUAUGAAAGCAUGGCCUAUCAAUCCUUUAUACCUUUGGAAUUUGAAGCUAGGGGUGUCAGAAAAGUUACCAUAGGGAUAACUGGCUAGUGGUAGCUAAGCAUGCGUAGCAACAUUGCUUUUUGAUCCUUCGAUGCCAACUUUUCCUAUCAUUGUGAAGCCAAAUUCACCAAGUGUUGGAUUGUUCACCCACUAAUAGAAAACAUGAGCUGGGUUUAGACUAUCGUGAGAUAGGUUAGUUUUACCUUAUUGAUGGCAGUGUCGCAAUAGUAAUUCAACUAGUAGAGAGGAAUUGUUGAUUCACAUAAUUGGUCAUCGUGCUUGGUUAAAAUGUUAAUGGUGCAAAGCUACCAUGUGCUAGAUUAUGACUGGAACACGUCUAAGUUAGAAUUUGGGCUAAAAGCGAUGCAUGUGCUUGUCACCCGACUUGUCAACCCACAGUGAAAGCCUAUGGCCCCAAAGGUACAUGCUGUAGGUGCAACCUCUAAGGUGAACAAAUUAUGCGAGCCUCUUUAGAGCUUAAUUCCCACAAAGUGACAGGUAGAAUCCUUUGUAGAUGACUUAAUUAUGAUGGGAGUACUGUAAGUGGGUAGAGUGGCCUUGCUGCCACUGUGCCAUGAUCCCUAGAUUUAGCCCUUU